AAGGGCACCACAAGAACGCGUGGAGCAUGUGGCUUAAUUUGACUCAACGCGGGAAAUCUUACCAGGUCCGAACACGCUGAGGAUUGACAGGUUUUUAUAAGACUAUUUAUAUAUUUUUCGAAAUAUAUUUAUUGAAAUUCUUAUAUCAAAUAUGCUAGUCCUUUCAUGAUUGCGUGAUAGGUGGUGCAUGGCCGUUCUUAGUUCGUGGAGUGAUCUGUCUGCUUAAUUGCGUUUCACUAAGGGCCUAUAAUCGCUAAAUGUGUUGGAUGCCUUGACCCCUCUAUUAAUUUAGAGCGCGUGUCUUGGCUGGUAGCCCGUUUUAGUAGGUCCUGAAAGCAACGAACGUGACCG
rnacentral:rRNA from 1 species